rnacentral:rRNA from 2 species
GACUGCCAGGGCUUUGUGAUGCGCUCUCAAAGAGUCGAGUUGUUUGGGAAUGCAGCUCAAAAUGGGUGGUAAAUUCCAUCUAAAGCUAAAUAUUGGCGAGAGACCGAUAGCGAACAAGUACCGUGAGGGAAAGAUGAAAAGAACUUUGGAAAGAGAGUUAAACAGUACGUGAAAUUGCUGAAAGGGAAAACGCUUGAAGUCAGUCGCGUUGGCCGGGGAUCAACCUUGCUUUUGCUUGGCGUACUUCCCGGUUGAUGGGUCAGCAUCAAUUUUGACCGUUGGAUAAAGGUUAGGGGAAUGUGGCAUCUUCGGAUGUGUUAUAGCCCUUGGUCGCAUACAACGGUUGGGAUUGAGGAACUCAGCACGCCGCAAGGCCGGGUAUUUAUACUACGUUCGUGCUUAGGAUGCUGGCAUAAUGGCUUUAAUCGACCCGUCUUGAAACACGGACCAAGGAGUCUAACAUGCCUGCGAGUGUUUGGGUGGAAAACCCGAGCGCGUAAUGAAAGUGAAAGUUGAGAUCCCUGUCGUGGGGAGCAUCGACGCCCGGACCAGACCUUUUGUGACGGA